CCCCAGGACACAAGUGUCUUCAUAACAUACUCUGAGGGACGUCUCCACCUGUUGGAGCCUCAUGUAGCCCAACUCCAGCCUGUUGAUAAUGAAGAUGAAGACACUGUGUCUGCUGUCACAGAAAGGCCU